AUGGAUUCCUGAUGUCAGGGCGCCUGAUGCUCUCAUUGGUAGAGCGAGCAUGCCCACAUCCCACUGUGCAUUUGGAAGAGGGAUGAAAGGUGUCUUCCAUUCAUGGAUUUGCAAUCACUGGUGGGGAAUAAACAUGGACUUCGCGCAUCACGUCGUUGUCAACGGAUAAUUUUAAUUCUUCUCUACUUUCACUUAAAUGCUAUGAGUGUUCAGUCAGCGAAAUGAAACAACUGUUCAGUCUUGAUAUUUUGUUUUCAAAGGAAAUAUGUACACGGUACCCGGGCUGCAAGUCGAUGUAUCCAGAAUCCACAUCUGAUCCUUUGUGCUGAAGAACUAGGUAUGUUAUAUUUUUCUCAUUACAAUCAUCUUAUCUGUGAGUAGAAGAAAAUUCGGCUAUCUUGGUAACUAGCAUACAAAGCUUUGCCUGCGAAGCAACAUUCAGUAUACUUUUCACCAAUCAGUAUGAUAUGAUAGUCUAUGCGACUGGUUAUUGAUAAAUUACAUUGGAGAAUACUCUCUCUUAUCAGUCAAUGUUGACUGCUGCUCUCUGUGCCAUCCGUUAAGAGCCGUAUAUACUAUCAUGUCUGAAGUUGUGUUGAUCAGAUUAGCCAAGUCAUGCUUGAAUAAAUUUAUAUCCAACAUUGCUAAUCCUUUAUUCA